GUAGGGUGCAAGCGUUAAUCGGAAUUACUGGGCGUAAAGCGUACGCAGGCGGCUUUGCAAGAUAGGUGUGAAAUCCCCGGGCCUAACCUGGGAACUGCAUUUGUGACUGCAUGGCUAGAGUCUGUCAGAGGGGGGUGGAAUUUCCACGUGUAGCAGUGAAAUGCGUAGAGAUGUGGAAGAACACCGAUGGCGAAGGCAGCCCCCUGGGAUAAGACUGACGCUCAUGUACGAAAGCGUGGGGAGCAAACAGGAUUAGAUACCCUGGUAGUCCACGCCCUAAACGAUGUCUACUAGUUGUCGGAGGGUAACUCCUUCGGUAACGCAGCUAACGCGUGAAGUAGACCGCCUGGGGAGUACGGUCGCAAGAUU
rnacentral:rRNA from 1 species